GGGCUCGUAGCUCAGCGGGAGAGCGCCGCCUUUGCGAGGCGGAGGCCGCGGGUUCAAAUCCCGCCGAGUCCACCA
rnacentral:tRNA from 1 species